rnacentral:rRNA from 1 species
UACGUAGGGUGCAAGCGUUAAUCGGAAUUACUGGGCGUAAAGCGUGCGCAGGCGGUGAUGUAAGACAGAUGUGAAAUCCCCCGGGCUCAACCUGGGAACUGCAUCUGUGACUGCAUAGCUAGAGUACGGUAGAGGGGGAUGGAAUUCCGCGUGUAGCAGUGAAAUGCGUAGAUAUGCGGAGGAACACCGAUGGCGAAGGCAAUCCCCCUGGACCUGUACUGACGCUCAUGCACGAAAGCGUGGGGGAGCAAACAGG